UACGUAGGGUGCAAGCGUUUAAUCGGAAUUACUGGGCGUAAAGCGUGCGCAGGCGGUUAUGUAAGACAGAUGUGAAAUGCCCGGGCUUAACCUGGGAACUGCAUUUGUGACUGCAUGGCUAGAGUUUGGCAGAGGGGGGUAGAAUUCCACGUGUAGCAGUGAAAUGCGUAGAUAUGUGGAGGAACACCGAUGGCGAAGGCAGCCCCCUGGGUCAAGACUGACGCUCAUGCACGAAAGGCGUGGGGAGCAAACAGG
rnacentral:rRNA from 1 species